rnacentral:rRNA from 1 species
CGGGAGGAAGGCCUUCGGGUUGUAAACCGCUUUCAGGGGGGACGAAGCUACUCGGGUUAAUAGCCCAGAGGGUGACGGUACCUUCAGAAGAAGCCCCGGCUAACUACGUGC